rnacentral:rRNA from 1 species
CAGCAGCCGCGGUAAUACCGGCGGCCCGAGUGGCGGUCACUAUUAUUGGGCUUAAAGCGUCCGUAGCCGGGUUGGGAAGGCCUCCGGGAAAUCUGGCCGCUUAACGGUCAGAAUGCCGGAGGAUACUCCCAGCCUAGGGAGCGGGAGAGGCCGAGGGUAUUCCCGGAGUAGGGGUGAAAUCCUAUAAUCCCGGGAGGACCACCUGUGGCGAAGGCGCUCGGCUGGGACGCGUCCGACGGUGAGGGACGAAGGCCAGGGGAGCAAACCGGAUUAGAUACCCGGGUAGUCCUGGCGGUAAACGAUGCGGACUUUGUGUCGGACAAGCUAUGAGCUUGUCCGGUGCCGGAGGGAAACCGUUAAGUCCGCCGCCUGGGGAGUACGGCCGCAAGGCUGAAACUUAAAGGAAUUGGCGGG